rnacentral:rRNA from 1 species
GAUGAACGCUGGCGGCGUGCCUAAUACAUGCAAGUCGAGCGAACGGACGAGGAGCUUGCUCCUCUGACGUUAGCGGCGGACGGGUGAGUAACACGUGGAUAACCUACCUAUAAGACUGGGAUAACCUCGGGAAACCGGAGCUAAUACCGGAUAAUAUAUUGAACCGCAUGGUUCAAUAGUGAAAGACGGUUUUGCUGUCACUUAUAGAUGGAUCCGCGCCGCAUUAGCUAGUUGGUAAGGUAACGGCUUACCAAGGCAACGAUGCGUAGCCGACCUGAGAGGGUGAUCGGCCACACUGGAACUGAGACACGGUCCAGACUCCUACGGGAGGCAGCAGUAGGGAAUCUUCCGCAAUGGGCGAAAGCCUGACGGAGCAACGCCGCGUGAGUGAUGAAGGUCUUCGGAUCGUAAAACUCUGUUAUUAGGGAAGAACAAAUGUGUAAGUAACUAUGCACGUCUUGACGGUACCUAAUCAGAAAGCCACGGCUAACUACGUG